ACAGUGGACGCGAGCAUCUGUGGCCAAGUUUUUAAGGGCGCACGGUGGAUGCCUUGGCACUAGGAACCGAUGAAGGACGUGGGAGGCCGCGAUAGGCCCCGGGGAGCUGUCAACCGAGCUUUGAUCCGGGGGUGUCCGAAUGGGGAAACCCGGCAGUCGUCAUGGGCUGUCACCCGCUGCUGAACACAUAGGCAGUGUGGAGGGAACGCGGGGAAGUGAAACAUCUCAGUACCCGCAGGAAGAGAAAACAACCGUGAUUCCGGGAGUAGUGGCGAGCGAAACUGGAUGAGGCUAAACC
rnacentral:rRNA from 1 species